CCGCCCUCUACUGUCCCUCCCCCUGGCCACAUGCGCAGUGCUGCCCCUUGGUCCGGCGAGGGAAGAAGCUCCCCCAUGCACCUAUUGGACUCCGGGCUGGCUGCAUGGCCGGCGUCUGGGUCAGGCCUCGCACACGGACGCUCUUGCCACUGUGAUAAAGAGGAGAAAAAGUCCCAGGAGAAAGGGACCCCCUAAAGUACUUUGAGAGCCACAUCCACCACUUCUCUGCCCCCCACCCAGGCUGGUUUCCAGGCCCUGGGGUCCUGGUGUGGACCUGCCUGCCGUAAUUAACGCAGGUGCAGGACCUGAGCGCCUUGGUCUCUCCCAACACAUGAGAGAAGUUUGUGUGAUUAACUGUUAAGUACUCCACGCUUCUGAAACGGGCGUAGGCACAGCGUCAGUUCUGUACAGUGCAGACGCAGCAGGACAGAAUCUCCCUGGGCAUCUUUCUGGAGCAUCAAUUUUACUGCAAGAUUUUGAAGAAACAAAUUUAAUUGAUUUCCAAGUUAAGAAAUUAAACCUUGAAAACUAGACUAAAAAGUCAUCUGCACCUGACGUAACAGACUUUCUGCAGGAAGAAAACUUUUAAGGCAGUAGCUGCGUAUGUCAUAUAAAUGUCUUCCUACCACAUCAAAAAUGUUGCUUUUAAAAUGUUUAAAAUUGAGAAGGAAGGAAUUUUCUCUGUAAGUUUCUAUCAAUGAACAUGCCACCAUCAAAAAGAAUAUUAGAAUCCAGCAUGAAGAUAAUGACUAAUAAAAAUGAGGUACAUACUUUCUAAAACCGUAAAUCAGAUUUGAAUGAGGAAUGCUUUCCACAUCCUUGAAAGAAAAGCGGUGUCUUGGGUUUUACAGUGUUCUGAGAAUGAAGUAUUAAGAUCCUAUUUCUAUAGGCAAGAUCAGACUUACUAAGUAUGGCACAACUAAGAGCUAAUUCAUUCAUUCUUUGUGUGCCACUAAAUAAAGAGAUUGAGCAAGUAAAAAAAAAUCAAACAGAAAUCCUGGAACUGAAAUAAACAACGGCAGAACUGAAAAAAUAUAAUAGAAGUGUUUAACAGGAGAAUCAAUCAUAAAGAAGAAAAAUUCAGCAAACUCAAAGACAGGCUAUUUACAAGUAACCAACCAUAAAGUGAACAAAUAUACACAUUUCAGAAAUUUCAGAAAAAGAGAAAGAGGAACAGAGAUUUAAAUAUAUAAUGUCUUAAAACUUUCCUAAUCUAGAAAAGAAUAUGAACAUCAAGUUUUAUGAAGCUCAAAAUACCUUCAGCAAGAAGAACCUAAUAAAGAUUGCCCUUGGACACAUUACGAUUGUCAAAAUACAAAGAUAAAGCACAAAUCUUGAAAACAGCAAGAGAUAAAUUCUUCACAUAGAAGGAAACCUUUAUAAUGGUAUCAGUGGAUUUUUCAGCAGAAGCUUUGCAAGCAAACUCAGAGACCAUAUAUUCAAAUGCUGAAAGGAGGAAAAAAACUGACAAUUAAGAAGAGUUUAUCCAACAAGGCUGUUCUUUAAAAAUAAUAGAGGUCAAGACAUUCCAACAUUCCAAGACAAAAAAGAAGGUGAGGGAAUUUAUCACACCUCAACCUGUCCUGCAAGAAAUGCUAAAAGGAAGUCUCCAUAUUGAUAUGACCGAAUACUAAUAACAUGAAAAAUAUUAAAGUAUAAAUGUCAGUGAAA